rnacentral:rRNA from 1 species
CCUACGUGUGGCAGCAGUCGAGAAUUAUUCACAAUGGGGGAAUCCCUGAUGGUGCGCCGCCGCGUGAAGGAAGAAGGCUUUCGGGUUGUAAACUUCUUUUGUCAGGGACGAAGCAAGUGACGGUACCUGACGAAUAAGCCACGGCUAACUACGUGCCAGCAGCCGCGGUAAUACGUAGGUGGCAAGCGUUAUCCGGAUUUACUGGGUGUAAAGGGCGUGUAGGCGGGGAAGCAAGUCAGAUGUGAAAACCACGGGCUCAACCUGUGGCCUGCAUUUGAAACUGUUUUUCUUGAGUGCUGGAGAGGCAAUCGGAAUUCCGUGUGUAGCGGUGAAAUGCGUAGAUAUACGGAGGAACACCAGUGGCGAAGGCGGAUUGCUGGACAGUAACUGACGCUGAGGCGCGAAAGCGUGGGGAGCAAACAGGAUUAGAUACCCUUGUAGUC